rnacentral:lncRNA from 1 species
AGGAAGUGUCCCCUUUUCCCCUCAGCGCCUCCUCCAGCCGCCUCAUGUGAGUUACCAGCAAGAGAGGGUGCCUGCAGAAGGCAUCCUCUAUAAGAUAAGUCUUAUAAAAUAUAUACAUUUAUGAUAAUUAAGACUGAGCUAACAGAUGAGAAUCCUAGUCAUUGGCCAAGCAGCAUUUGAACCUAAUGCAAGUUUCUGUGUAUUCAUUUGGGCCCUAACUCGGGUGGGCGGCUGGCAUAGAGCUCACACGUGCCGGUGGGAUUCAGCAGCUUUGGCAGAAAGAUUUAUCGUAAGAAUCUACAGUCUGUAUAUAAGUUCUUUGGAAAAAAGAGAAUUGUAAGACUUCUCUUACAACCCAACUUUCUCAAUUGACCUAAACUACCUAAUCCCUCCCUUACUCAGCUUCCAGGGCCCAAACUGCGUGUUCUCCUGCAGGCCAGUUACUGCUAUUAAUGUCAGAUGUAAGAAUUUCUGUCUACUGAAAUGCGCUGUUUAAUCUGUCAUGGCUCAUACAAUAAAUACCUUGUCUUCUUUUUUGGUUUAGGUGUAAUUAUCCUGGGGUCUUUCCUCAGAGAAGACACUCCCUUGGGAACAUAAAUAUGCAGGAUGGUCUAGUAUUACCAGCUGGCCCAGUGGGCUUGCCAGCCGAUUAUCAAUACAUUUCCCAUUUUUAGGUUUGUCUCUUCUUUCCCUCCCUCAGCUGUUUUCCCUUGUCUUUUCUCUAUGCCCAGUGUCUCUUUCUCUCAGCAGUUAGUAGCCUUUCCUUCUCUAACCUUUUCUUUCUUGGCUUCUGGGACACCCCUUCCUCUAUUUGAAAUGACCUUCUGCCGUUUUCCCUGCCUUUCAGUUGAAGUUCUCCUUCAAUCUCUCCCACCUACUUCUCCUCCUCCUAUUCCUUUCUUGGAGUUCAGUAUAGUAUGGGUGGUUUCCUAGCUUCAGGUCUUGGAAUGCUUUCCAGAAAUGUUCUGUGCUGGUAAUGAUACCUUCUCCAGUUCUGCCCAUGUGCAUUUGACUGUCUAUUUGAAUGCCUCUGAGGCAUUUAGAAAUUCAGAUGUUUCACCUAGGGUGCUUCAAAUACUUUUGCAUACCUGCUAUUUCCCUGGGCUUCCCCCAUCUACAUAAAUAGAAGUCUCUGCCUUCUAUUAGGUUGCUUGAGCAAAGGUGGCAGGAAACUUCCUCCACUUUCUUUCAUUUCUUACCUCUAAAUUCCACCAAAGGCUAUCAACUGUGACCUGGAACUGCCAUUCAUUUUCAUAGUUCUAAGCCUGGUGUCUUAUUCUUAAUGCCUGUACUCUGACCCCUCUACCUUAUAUACUGAUUAGUGGUAUUAUUUACAUGUCAUCACGAAAUAAAGCAUAGGUCUUCACAUUUGUGCAUUAAGGACUCCCUCCUGGAAAGCAAGCAGGUGCCCUUACAAAAGGAGUCUUGCAAGAUCACACUAUCCAGGAUGUUGAGUGAAUCUGUCUUCUGGGUUGUAAGAACCAAUAGGAGAGAGAGAGAGAGAGAGAGAGAGAGAGAGAGAGAGAGAGAGGAGACAGAAAGAGAAAAAACAGUGUGAAAGAGACAGAAAGAGGGAAGAGAGACAGAGACAGAGAGACAUACACAUACUCUGCAAGGAAUGAAGACAUGAGAAAGAAAAGCUGAUACAAUUUAGCUAGUCAAAAUUUCACUGACAAUGAGUGCUAGACUGAGUAUGCCUUGAAGGACAUCUGAAUAAAUUCUCCAGAUAAACAGGGGUGAAUGACUCAACACCCAGAUCUGUGAAAAGUAAAUUUAUGCUUUUCAUGUAAGUUAAUCUGCCUCAGGUAUUUUUUUACAGCAUCACAAAUGGACAUGACAUCCUGAGUGCCCAGCCUGGAGUCGUGGACAUGAAACCCAAGGGACCUUGUUCCUUCUAGAUCAGCUCACCAGCCCACAUGGUCUUCUUGGAUCUCUCUUUGGUUUGUGGAGAUGUGUACGGACUUUGAACUACUUUACUUACCUCACCUGCUUUAUAACCAGCCUUACCUGAUUUGUUGGCAUCAGUGUAGAAGAAAUAUCCACUCCAAUAUGGCGUUUUCCCUCUGCAUCAGAAUUCCAGAAGGGUAUUCUCUGGAUGGCAAGAUGACCAGAAUACAAUCUAAAUCAAGGGCAAUCUGUAACCCCCAUCUAGGCAGAACUUCUUUUACCACGUCAAACAUACAUUCCAAAGUUUCCUUAUUGGAAUCUGAUAAAAGAAUAUCAUCCAUGUAAUGAUAAACGAGGGAUUGUGAAAAUUUCUUAUGAAUUAUU